rnacentral:rRNA from 1 species
AGAGUUUGAUCAUGGCUCAGAACGAACGCUGGCGGCGUGGAUAAGACAUGCAAGUCGAGCGGAAUACAUAGGGUAGCAAUAUUCUGUGUGUUCAGCGGCGCAAGGGUGCGUAACACGUGGGUAAUUUGCCAUGAAGUCUGGAAUAACUUGCUGAAAGGCGAGCUAAUGCCGGAUGUGACUUCCGAAGGGCAUCUUUUGGAAUUCAAAGUUGGGGACCGUAAGGCCUGACGCUUUGUGAUAAGCCCGCGGUCUAUCAGCUAGUUGGUGAGGUAAUGGCUCACCAAGGCUAAGACGGAUAGCUGGUCUGAGAGGACGACCAGCCACACUGGAACUGAGACACGGUCCAGACACCUACGGGUGGCAGCAGUCGAGAAUUUUUCACAAUGGGCGAAAGCCUGAUGGAGCGACGCCGCGUGGGGGAUGAAUGGCUUCGGCCCGUAAACCCCUGUCAUUUGCGAACAAACCUUACCGGUUAACAACCGGUGAGCUGAUUGUAGCGGAAGAGGAAGGGACGGCUAACUCUGUGCUAGCCGCCGCGGUAAUACA